AGACCCGAAACCCGGUGAUCUAGCCAUGGGCAGGUUGAAGGUUGGGUAACACUAACUGGAGGACCGAACCGACUAAUGUUGAAAAAUUAGCGGAUGACCUGUGGCUGGGGGUGAAAGGCCAAUCAAACCGGGAGAUAGCUGGUUCUCCCCGAAAGCUAUUUAGGUAGCGCCUCGUGAAUUCAUCUCCGGGGGUAGAGCACUGUUUCGGCUAGGGGGCCAUCCCGGCUUACCAACCCGAUGCAAACUGCGAAUACCGGAGAAUGUUAUCACGGGAGACACACGGCGGGUGCUAACGUCCGUCGUGAAGAGGGAAACAACCCAGACCGCCAGCUAAGGUCCCAAAGUCAUGGUUAAGUGGGAAACGAUGUGGGAAGGCCCAGACAGCCAGGAUGUUGGCUUAGAAGCAGCCAUCAUUUAAAGAAAGCGUAAUAGCUCACUGGUCGAGUCGGCCUGCGCGGAAGAUGUAACGGGGCUAAACCAUGCACCGAAGCUGCGGCAGCGACACUGUGUGUUGUUGGGUAGGGGAGCGUUCUGUAAGCCUGUGAAGGUGUGUCGUGAGGCAUGCUGGAGGUAUCAGAAGUGCGAAUGCUGACAUAAGUAACGAUAAAGCGGGUGAAAAGCCCGCUCGCCGGAAGACCAAGGGUUCCUGUCCAACGUUAAUCGGGGCAGGGUGAGUCGACCCCUAAGGCGAGGCCGAAAGGCGUAGUCGAUGGGAAACGGGUUAAUAUUCCCGUACUUGGUGUUACUGCGAAGGGGGGACGGAGAAGGCUAUGUUGGCCGGGCGACGGUUGUCCCGGUUUAAGCGUGUAGGUGUGUGUUCCAGGUAAAUCCGGUUCACUUUAACACUGAGGCGUGACGACGAGGCACUACGGUGCUGAAGCAACAAAUGCCCUGCUUCCAGGAAAAGCCUCUAAGCAUCAGGUAACAUCAAAUCGUACCCCAAACCGACACAGGUGGUCAGGUAGAGAAUACCAAGGCGCUUGAGAGAACUCGGGUGAAGGAACUAGGCAAAAUGGUGCCGUAACUUCGGGAGAAGGCACGCUGACACGUAGGUGAAGUGAUUUACUCAUGGAGCUGAAGUCAGUCGAAGAUACCAGCUGGCUGCAACUGUUUAUUAAAAACACAGCACUGUGCAAACACGAAAGUGGACGUAUACGGUGUGACGCCUGCCCGGUGCCGGAAGGUUAAUUGAUGGGGUCAGCGCAAGCGAAGCUCCUGAUCGAAGCCCCGGUAAACGGCGGCCGUAACUAUAACGGUCCUAAGGUAGCGAAAUUCCUUGUCGGGUAAGUUCCGACCUGCACGAAUGGCGUAAUGAUGGCCAGGCUGUCUCCACCCGAGACUCAGUGAAAUUGAACUCGCUGUGAAGAUGCAGUGUACCCGCGGCAAGACGGAAAGACCCCGUGAACCUUUACUAUAGCUUGACACUGAACAUUGAGCCUUGAUGUGUAGGAUAGGUGGGAGGCUUUGAAGUGUGGACGCCAGUCUGCAUGGAGCCGACCUUGAAAUACCACCCUUUAAUGUUUGAUGUUCUAACGUGGACCCGUGAUCCGGGUUGCGGACAGUGUCUGGUGGGUAGUUUGACUGGGGCGGUCUCCUCCUAAAGAGUAACGGAGGAGCACGAAGGUUGGCUAAUCCUGGUCGGACAUCAGGAGGUUAGUGCAAUGGCAUAAGCCAGCUUGACUGCGAGCGUGACGGCGCGAGCAGGUGCGAAAGCAGGUCAUAGUGAUCCGGUGGUUCUGAAUGGAAGGGCCAUCGCUCAACGGAUAAAAGGUACUCCGGGGAUAACAGGCUGAUACCGCCCAAGAGUUCAUAUCGACGGCGGUGUUUGGCACCUCGAUGUCGGCUCAUCACAUCCUGGGGCUGAAGUAGGUCCCAAGGGUAUGGCUGUUCGCCAUUUAAAGUGGUACGCGAGCUGGGUUUAGAACGUCGUGAGACAGUUCGGUCCCUAUCUGCCGUGGGCGCUGGAGAACUGAGGGGGGCUGCUCCUAGUACGAGAGGACCGGAGUGGACGCAUCACUGGUGUUCGGGUUGUCAUGCC
rnacentral:rRNA from 1 species